rnacentral:tRNA from 1 species
GGAUGGUUGGCUCAAUGGUAGGGCAUUGAACUAAUUAAAACUAGAUGACCAAAGCAUUCGGGUUAGGAUCCAGAACUAUCCA